ensembl:snoRNA SNORA70 Small nucleolar RNA SNORA70
CUGUUCAAUGGUUGAAAAUAGCAGCCUUCUCAGUACUGUAAUGAACCUAUUGCCUGUAUAGGUUGACCUAAGGAGCCUUGGAGGCAGCC